rnacentral:snRNA from 1 species
AUCGCUUCUUGGCCUUUUGGCUAAGAUCAAGUGUAUUUUAUGAUAUAUCCACAUUUGUUUUCAUAUCAAAACACUUUUUAAAGUGACUUACCAUUGAAUACAGCUUCUUUCCUAGAAGAUGUGCCACAGUUACUUCAUAUUCUGGUACAUCUCAC